rnacentral:misc_RNA from 1 species
CAUUUAAAAGUUUUGCUCAUCAACUGUGUCCUGGUCAUAUUUUGUUUGGCGACCUUCGAAUAUCUUUAGAAUGAAUGGGAUAGAAGAACUCCAAAUAUUUCAUCCUAGUCAUUUAGAUGCAUGUUUUCUUAUUUUCAAUUUCUCAUGGCAUUCAGUUUAUAUAUGUAGUUGAUCCUUGGCAUCAGUUAAUUACUUAAUUGGAAUGUAUGAGUAUUAAUAAUUAUAUUCUCAUGCUUAUUCAUGCGUCAACACAUUAUCUUUUUGUGUAUCAUAUCAUUGUGUUUAUUUUAAUUUGUAUCACAACAACAAGGACAUGGGAAUGAUCUUAUUUACCAUUUCUACCUGGUGAACUUUUUAUUAGCAGUAAGAUGCAAAUAACUUGGUUAAUCAAGG